rnacentral:rRNA from 1 species
UACGUAGGGUGCAAGCGUUGUCCGGAAUUAUUGGGCGUAAAGAGUUCGUAGGCGGCUUGUCACGUCGGGUGUGAAAGCCCGGGGCUUAACCCCGGGUCUGCAUUCGAUACGGGCUAGCUAGAGUGUGGUAGGGGAGAUCGAAUUCCUGGUGUAGCGGUGAAAUGCGCAGAUAUCAGGAGGAACACCGGUGGCGAAGGCGGAUCUCUGGGCCAUUACUGACGCUGAGGAGCGAAAGCGUGGGGAGCGAACAGG